rnacentral:rRNA from 1 species
UGGGGAAUAUUGCACAAUGGAGGGAACUCUGAUGCAGCGACGCCGCGUGAGUGAUGAAGGACUUCGUUUCGUAAAACUCUGUUCUAUGGGAAGAAAAGGACUGUACCAUAGGAGAAAGCUCCGGCUAAAUACGUGCCAGCAGCCGCGGUAAUACGUAUGGAGCGAGCGUUGUCCGGAAUUAUUGGGCGUAAAGGGUGCGCAGGCGGCAUUACAAGUUGGAUGUGAAAUAUUGUGGCUCAACCACAAACGUGCAUCCAAAACUGCAAAGCUAGAGUUAAGGAGAGGUAAGUGGAAUUCCGUGUGGAGCGGUGGAAUGCGUAGAUAUCAGGGGGAAUACCGGUGGCGAAGGCGACUUACUGGACUUACACUGACGCUCAGGCACGAAAGCGUGGGGAGCAAACAGG